GCCGGUUUAGCUCAGUUGGUAGAGCAACCGCCUUGUAAGCGGUAGGUCGGGGGUUCGACUCCCUCAACCGGCA
rnacentral:tRNA from 3 species